GCCACUGUGGUAUAGUGGUUUGCACACUGGAUUAUGACUCUGGAGACCAGGAUUCAAAUCCCAGCUCAGCCA